rnacentral:rRNA from 1 species
GACGAACGCUGGCGGCAGGCUUAACACAUGCAAGUCGAGCGGGCGUAGCAAUACGUCAGCGGCAGACGGGUGAGUAACGCGUGGGAACGUACCUUUUGGUUCGGAACAACACAGGGAAACUUGUGCUAAUACCGGAUAAGCCCUUACGGGGAAAGAUUUAUCGCCGAAAGAUCGGCCCGCGUCUGAUUAGCUAGUUGGUGAGGUAACGGCUCACCAAGGCGACGAUCAGUAGCUGGUCGAGAGGAUGAUCAGCCACAUUGGGACUGAGACACGGUCCAGACUCCUACGGGAGGCAGCAGUGGGGAAUAUUGCGCAAUGGGCGAAAGCCUGACGCAGCGACGCCGCGUGGGGGAUGAAGCUUUUCGGAGUGUAAACCCCUUUCGACCCGGACCGAAUGGCCCGCAAGGGACGUGACGGUACGGGUAUAAG